UUCAUAUCCUUCCUUGUUGGCUUUUAUUGUUUUAUUUGUUAAAUUUGCGAACAUUGUUGAUUUAGUUAACCAAUUAUUGUUUUUUUGCAAUCGGCUCAUUUUUUUUUCAAUUGGCCUGCUAAUUUUCAUCAUAGAGAGAUUAAUUUUUGAGCCGUGUUGGACCUUGAGGGUUGUAGAAUUGAUAGUAAACACCCAAUGGUCCCAUCCGUUGGUUGCCUUGGGCGUUCCUUAAGUUUGGAGUCUUAUACUUCAGUUCAGAAUCUAGGAUUUGAUGCUAUUUUGAGUUUAAAGGUUGGAUUAAUUGUCACUAUUGAGAUAUCCCCAGAUUUCAGGGUAACAUAGAGAAUUCCGGCCAGUUGGAUAGAACAUUGAAGGAUCUCUGUUUCACUGGGAGAGUUAAAGAAGCUGUUGGAAUAUUAUGCUGCACGGGAAUGCAAGUACAUUCCGACACAUAUUCACUUGUCUUGCAAGAGUGCAUAUUUAGGAAGGAAUAUAAGCAGGGCAGAAGAAUUCAUUGGCAAAUGGUGGCCUUUGGAUUUGUUCCGGAUGAGUAUCUAAAGAUCAAGAUUCUGAUCCUGUAUGCAAAGUCUGGAGAUUUGGGUUCAGCACACAUACUUUUUGACAUGUUGCGAAAGAGAAAUUUGAUUUCGUGGAAUGCAUUAAUUGCAGGAUACGUGCAAAAGGGGAUGGACGAGGUGGGCUUGAGUCUGUAUCAUAGGAUGAGGCAGCUCGGUUGGAUGCCUGACCAGUACACCUUUGCGUCUGUGUUCAGGGCAUGUUCUUCCCUAGCUUUCCUGGAACAGGGAAAACUUGCCCAUGGUGUACUGAUUAAGAGUCAAAUUAACAGUAACAUUGUAGUUAAUAGUGCACUUAUGGAUAUGUAUUUCAAAUGCAGUAGCCCUUUUGAUGGGUUUAAAGUAUUUGAUACGUCUUUGGACAGGAAUGUCAUAAUUUGGACUUCAUUAAUAUCUGGAUAUGGCCUCAAUGGAAGAGUAUCCGAGGUUUUGGAUUUUUUUCAUCAGAUGAUAAAUGAAGGUAUCAAACCAAACCAAAUCACAUUUCUUGCUGUACUUUCCGCAUGCAGCCAUGGAGGGCUGGUGGAUAAAGGGUGGGAAUACUUUUCUUCAAUGAUGAGAGACUAUGGUGUUCAGCCAAGAGGAAAGCAUUACGCUGUUAUGGUUGAUCUUUUAGGCCGUGCUGGUAGGUUAGAGGAGGCUUAUGCAUUCGUCCAAACAUCACCUUAUAAAGAGCACCCCGCAGUAUGGGGUGCUUUACUUGGUGCGUGUAAAAUUCAUGGAAAUAUGGAUAUGGUGAAACUUGCUGCGAAGAACUUCUUUGUGUUAGAACCCGAAAAUGCUGGAAAGUAUGUAGUCCUGUCUAAUGCUUAUGCGACGUUUGGUUUAUGGAAGAAUGUCGCAGAGAUAAGGAGGGUAAUGAAGGGGUCAGGGAUAAAAAAGGAGCCUGGUCAUAGCAUGAUAGAGGUACGAAAGGAGGCCCAUUUCUUCUUUAUGGGACAUAAUACUCAUAGUGAGACAGAACAGAUUCAUUGGCUGAUUAGAGAAUUAGCCUUUAUUAUGAAAGAUGUUGUUGAUGCUCCGGACUUCAGUAUUGAAUUGGAGUAAAAUUACAAGUAGUUCAUAAGGUGAUCAGAUUUGAGCUACAGUUUUUCAGUAGCACAUAUGCUCAUGGCUCAUCAGUGGUGGGUGAGACAUGGAAAUGUUAGAUGGAUGUGCUGUAUUUUUGGCUAACAACUAAUCAAUACGGACAAUUGGACUACUAUGUUAAGAAGAAAUACAAACUUUCCGCAUAAAGACAACAUGGUGCACAGUAUAUAAAGAAAUGUAGCCGUAAUAAAAUCGAACAAAGACAAUAGGUAUGCGUUAGAUUCUAUUGUGACGCAUGAUGGAGAAAAGUUGCCGUGCAUACCUUUAGCGAAUCUCUCAUCAGUUCGAGAAAAGCUGGGUGCUGAAUUGUAUGAU